UACAGAGGGUGCAAGCGUUAAUCGGAAUUACUGGGCGUAAAGCGUGCGUAGACGGUAGCGUAAGUCGGGUGUGAAAGCCCCGGGCUCAACCUGGGAAUUGCAUUCGAGACUGCUCUGCUAGGGUGCGGAAGAGGGAAGCGGAAUUUCCGGUGUAGCGGUGAAAUGCGUAGAUAUCGGAAGGAACACCAGUGGCGAAAGCGGCUUCCUGGUCCAGCACCGACGUUCAGGCACGAAAGCUAGGGGAGCAAACAGG
rnacentral:rRNA from 1 species